GCCCGCUUGGCUUAGUGGUACAGCGUCUCACUCGUAUGCAGUAUGAAAUGAGAAGAUCCUCGGUUCGAUUCCGAGAGUGGGCA